AAAUCUGAAAGUAAUUAUAACCGGUUUCCAGAUGACGAAGAUGUCUCCAAGUCAGGAGUGAGUAUGGCGGAGAUGGAGACAGCUGUUAUGAUGCAGGAGCUGCUGUCGGUGCAGGAGGCGCGCGCGACGGAGCGCGCUGCGGCGCUGCGCAGCGAGACUACGAGCGGGUCGUGUCGCAGCAGGAGACGGAAGGAGAGGGAGAGGGAGCGGCACUGGCUGGACAGCCGCGCCUCAGAGACCGACCUCUGAACACGCUGUAUACUGCUGUACACAACAUCCUGUAUACAUGGCGUGGACAUCUAGUACACAACAUUGAAUAUCUAUACUUGGUUGAACAUCAUGUAUAUGUAGUUGAACACCCUGUGUAUAUGGUUGAACUGUAUACAUGGUUGAACAUCCUGUAAACAAGGUGGAACAGCCUGUAUACAUAUGUAUGUACAACUAUGUAGUUGUACACUUGUAAGUGGUUGAAAACUUGAGUAUAUGGUUACAUACAUACUGUAUACAUACAUGGUUGUACACUUGUAAACAUAUUUGAACACCCUGUAUAUGUGGUUGAACGCCCUGUAUACAUGAACACCCUGUGUAUUUGCUUAAACAACAAACUGUAUAUAAAAUUGAACCCCUGAGUAUAUGAUUGAACAAAUUGAAUCACGGUUGAAUAUCGAAUCACCCUUUUAACAAAUUUACAAGAAAAGACAGGGGAGGGGACUCUUGCUGUACUCUCCCCUGUCUUAAAUUUUAACAAAAUUGUAGCUUCUCUGGCGUUAAUUCAAGGCUAUAUAAAACUGACGUCAAUCAAAUUAGUUACGUCAGAAAUCAAUUGUAAAUUAGAUGACGUCAUAGAGAUGACGUAUUAGCUUGUGGGCGUGGCUUAGCGGGAGGCGUGGUCACCACUUUAAUUAUUACGUUUUUUAUUUGGAAAAUCCAUACAAAUGAUUUCUAUUUCUUUAUAUAAUUGUUAAUAAAAUUAUAUCACGUCUUCCUCUUGAAUAAAUAACUUGAUUUAAGUUUAUUUUACUUAAUAGCUUAAGUAAUGGACGUGUCUAAGCCCCGCCCCCGCGUGUACAGAGAUGGUGCUAGGCAGGACUGGUAUCAAAUAAAUAUUAUAUUAUA